UACGAAGGGGGCUAGCGUUGUUCGGAAUCACUGGGCGUAAAGGGCGCGUAGGCGGCCGAUCAAGUCGGGGGUGAAAUCUCCGGGCUUAACCCGGAAAGGUCAAUCGAUACUGCGGGGCUAGAGUGCAGAAGGGGCAACUGGAAUUCUCGGUGUAGCGGUGAAAUGCGUAGAUAUCGAGAGGAACACCUGCGGCGAAGGCGGGUUGCUGGGCUGACACUGACGCUGAAGCGCGAAAGUUAGGGGAGCGAACGGG
rnacentral:rRNA from 1 species